rnacentral:rRNA from 1 species
UACAGAGGGGGCAAGCGUUAUUCGGAAUUAUUGGGCGUAAAGCGCACGUAGGCGGCUUUGUAAGUUAGAGGUGAAAGCCCGGAGCUCAACUCCGGAACUGCCUUUAAGACUGCAUCGCUUGAAUCCAGGAGAGGUGAGUGGAAUUCCGAGUGUAGAGGUGAAAUUCGUAGAUAUUCGGAAGAACACCAGUGGCGAAGGCGGCUCACUGGACUGGUAUUGACGCUGAGGUGCGAAAGCGUGGGGAGCAAACAGG